AAUUUUAGUCUGGCCUGCCCACUGAGUUGUUGAAGGGCCGCGGUAUUUGGACCGUGCUAAGGUAGCAUAAUCAAUAGUCUUUUAAUUGGAGUCUGGAAUGAACGGUCGGAUGGGACGUAGUUUGUCUGCAAGUAUGGGGCUGAAUUUUACUUUUAAGUGAAAAGGCUUAAAUUGGGUAAGGGGACGAUAAGACCCUGUGAAGCUUUACGUUCAUUCAGUUCUAAUGUUUAAUAUUUGUGUGCUUGGGCUUGGAACUAGGAGGAUGUUGUGUUGGGGCGACUGGAAUAUAUUUUUAACUGUUCUUGUUAUGGUAAAAUAAAUGAUCUUUAGGAAGUUGAUCCUUUAUUGGGGAUUAUAAGAUUUAAGUUACUCCAGGGAUAACAGCGUAAUUCUUUCUGAGAGUUCUUAUCGACGAAAGUAUUUGCGACCUCGAUGUUGAAUUAAGAUUUCAUUAAGGUGCAGAAGCCUUAAUUGUAGGUCUGUUC
rnacentral:rRNA from 1 species